GCUAUUAUAUGGUUACCUCUUUGUUAACGCUUUUUGUAGAAUCGCUAUUAUAGGACUUUCUACCUAGGGGGUGUUUGUUUCAUGGAUACUAAACAUUUUCCUGGGAAUCUAAUGUUGGAAAUAAAAAUUCUCAUGUUUGUUACAACGGAAUUAAAAAAUGUUCCCAGGAAAAACUCAUACCAGGGAAAGAAUUUUACCCACGUAGCCUGGCUUUCUAAUCCCCUCUAAUAGGGGUGGGAAAUUUUUGUUCCCGGCGGUUGCAAUUAAUUUUUAUGGAGAACGUGCUACCCCACUACUAAUAACCGUUCCCUCUUUCCCUCAUAUUUACAUUAUCAAUUUAUCACCACUUUAUUUUGACGUGCACAAAAAAAAUAAUAACAAUGAUAAUAUUAAUUAAUAGUGAUAAAUAUGGACUGUGCUUCAAAAAGGAAAUUACUGAUAAUCAAUGGCAAUAUUAUGUUUCUGCUUUGAUAAAAAAAAAUAGUAUUUGCUAAAAAAAAAGAGUAUUAUUAAUGCUAUUUAUAAUAAGUGGCAAUAUUAAUAAUUAGACAUAAUACUAGAUAAUAUAAAUGGAAUUUUUUUUUUUUAUUUUAACAAUUAUAACAUCUACGUUUUAAGAAUUAUAUAUUUCUUUUUUUUUAAUGCUAAAAAAAAUAUGUGUCUAAGAAAUUUUUUUUUGAUAAAAAGUAUAUUAAGAAUUUAAAAUAAACUGCCUCACAAAAAAAAUUCCUGGGAAUUCAAAAUACUUACCAAACACAUUUUUUAAAAACUUAUUCCUUGGAAAUUUAUGCCUAGGAAAGUUAUUCCCGGGAUUCAUUUUUUAUACCGUGAAACAAACGCCUCCCUAGUUAAAUAAAAAUAUGGCCCAAAAUAUCUCGUCAAUCUCGAACUACCUUCUACCCUCAUCGAACUCACCACUAUCUCGUAAAUCUCCUUCUUUACCUUCUUCCCCCAACAUGUUCACCUAAACAACCCUCCAUUCUUCUCUCCGUCGAACUCAGAAACCUUCUUUCUCUCAAUCGUCCCCUCUUUGAACCCUAGAACUCAGAAUUUCCAAAAUUCAAUUGAAACCCUGUUACCGAUUCAAUCCGUAUCAAACCCUAAAACUCAAUUGAACCCAGAACUCGGAAAUUGAUUGAUUUGUUUCCCAUAAAUUGAAACCCUAAAACCAAUAUAUUUGUACAAAUGGUUUUAUGUGAAAGUUGGACUGUUCAUUGCUUCGCAAAAAGUGCUUCUGAGAGUCUGUCUUAGUUAACACUGUUACAAUAUCUUGGUGAGUUUUUAAUGCUUUUUAUUUUUUAUUUUUAUGGUAUGUACAAGCAUGUUUUUUUUAUUACAUGAUUUCACCAG
rnacentral:lncRNA from 1 species